GUAUGUUUUUAAGGUUAUGAAAGCUUGAUUUAGCUAGCCCAUGUACCAAUUUGUAAAACUGUUAAAGUUUUUAGAAGUUGUCAUUGGUGAUUUCUGAAGAAAUUGGUGUUAAGUUGAUAGAUUUUAAGCUUAGAUGUGAAAAAGGACUAAAUUGUAAUGUGUAAAUUGUUAGUUUUGCACAUAAGGACUAAAGUGAAUAAAUUGUGAAAUUUAUAUGAAAUUUAAAUAAUAAUAGAUAGUGGAGGGUCUGAAAUAAAUGUAAUUGAAGUCGGUUUUUAAAUCGAGGCUUAAAAUUGAAAGUUAUAACUAUUUCGAUUUUAGGGACUAAAUUGAAUAAAAUGUAUGUAAGAACCAAUUUUGGCCCGGGCCCUUACAAACACAAAACAAAAAAAGAGAGAGAAUAAAUUAUAAUAAAAAUAUUAUAACAGUCCAAAUAUUACAACCCAUUUACAACAAAUAUUAACAGUUCAUUGGCCCAAAAUAACCCUAGCCCAAUAUUACACAACAAAGCAGGCCCAAAUGGCCUGAAAGUUUGGCAAUCACAGAAACCCUAGGUCACCCUCUUGCGCCGCAACAGCUCCACAGCAGCCUUUAGCCUCUAAGCGCCGUACAACCACCAGCAGCCUCCGUACACGCCAGCUACCUUCGCCACGUUGCCUCCGUACCUGCAAAAGAAGACAAGCAAAGGACAAACACAACAGCAAAUACAAAAAAAUAUAUAGAAAAAAUUGUAUUUUUUUAUUUUAUUUUGAUUUUCCUUUUCUGCUAUAAAGCCAAGAGAUUUCAUCAUCUGUAAACGUUACGUAUACUGAAUACCAAAAAAAGUAAUCAAAAAUCAAAAAGGUUAUCAAAAAGGUGAAUUCAAAAUCUGUUUACUGCCCUUUUUCCGUUUCUAUCGAUUUGUUUGCAAUUUUAGCAUGAAAAAAGAAAAAAGGGAUGCUUGAAUCGAUGCCGAUGAGAGCCCAAAUAUCUCAAAAGUAUGGAAAUGUGGGCGAGGGUCGAACAGUGUUGGGUUUUUGUUACUCUUCUAAUUUUGCUUCGUUUUUUUUAAAGGAUAGUAUAGGAUUUGAAGUUUUUUUUUUAAAAAAAAAAGAAAGAGGGAAAGAGCAAACUUACCAGAUUUCCAUGGUCGUGGCCUCCGUUGGCAAGAUCUGGCUACUGUUCGCGCAUCGUCGGCCACCAAAUAGAAUGGUGAUCCGGUGGCUACAUGCUAAAUGAAGCCCUAACAGAGUGGGUUAAUAGCUUUGUUUCUUUAAUUAAGAGAUUGGAUGUGUUUUAAGAAAAAAUGGAUGAGAAUGAAGGUCUAACAGCAAAAUUAAAAACGACGCCGUCCCAAAGGGGGAAGGAUCCGCGUUUUGACCUGAUCGGUAGGCUGGAUCCGCGUUCUUUUGUUUGAAAGGGUUAAUUGCGCGCUAGGUCCUCCCCCUUUGCGCGGUCGUUCAAUCUCAUGUUGUUUGUUUUAUUUCUUUUUUAAAAUUUAACCCUGUAAUUAGUGCUUAUUUGCGAUUGGGUCCACGCCUCAAUGAGGUGUUUUGGGAUCUGGAAUAAUUCCAGCUUUAGUCCUUGUGAAUUUGAGCACAUUGUACGCUGGUCCCUAUUUUGGGUUUCUUUUAUUUUUGAAUUAUCCCUCUUAUUUUAAUUCAGUUUUAAU
rnacentral:lncRNA from 1 species